UACGAAGGGGGCUAGCGUUGUUCGGAAUUACUGGGCGUAAAGCGCACGUAGGCGGGUCGUUAAGUCAGGGGAGAAAUCCCAGAGCUCAACUCUGGAACUGCCUUUGAUACUGGCGACCUAGAGUUCGGAAGAGGUUAGUGGAAUUCCCAGUGUAGAGGUGAAAUUCGUAGAUAUUGGGAAGAACACCAGUGGCGAAGGCGGCUAACUGGUCCGAUACUGACGCUGAGGUGCGAAAGCCAGGGGAGCAAACGGG
rnacentral:rRNA from 1 species